rnacentral:rRNA from 1 species
UUGGGCAUAACAUUCCAUAUUUGAUAUACAAAAAUAUCCGCCAGAGAACUACGAGCAAAACGCUUAAAACUCUAAGGACUUGGCGGUACCUCAAACCCCCCUAGAGGAGCCUGUUCUAUAAUCGAUAAUCCACGAUCCACCUCACCAUCUCUUGCCAAUCCCGCCUAUAUACCACCGUCACCAGCUUACCCCAUGAGGGAUAUAAAAGUAAGCAAAAUAACUAAAAACCGUUAACAAGUCAGGGCAAGGGGUAACUUACUGAGAUGGGAAGAAAUGGGCUACAUUUUCUACACUAGAAAUAAAUUUACGGAAAGGAACUAUGAAAUAAGUCCCACAAGUAGGAUUUAGCAGUAAACCGGGAUCACAAA